rnacentral:rRNA from 1 species
AGGAGCACCGCUGGGUAGCUAUGUACGGAAGGGAUAAGCGCUGAAAGCAUCUAAGCGUGAAGCCCCCCUCAAGAUGAGAUUUCCCAAUUAGUAAGACCCCUUGAAGACGACGAGGUAGAUAGGUUGGAGGUGGAAGUGCAGUAAUGCAUGGAGCUGACCAAUACUAAUCGGUCGAGGGCUUAUCCUAAGAUAAAACGCAAGGA